rnacentral:rRNA from 1 species
GGCGAACGCUGGCGGCGUGCUUAACACAUGCAAGUCGAACGAGAUCCAAUGUGUAGCAAUCCACAGGAAGAUCUAGUGGCGAACGGGUGAGGAACACGUGAGAAACGUACCCCAGACUUUGGGAUAACAGUCCGAAAGGACUGCUAAUACCAAAUAACGUCGGAAGUCCGCAUGGACAUCUGACGAAAGGGAUUCCGGUUUGGGAGCGUCUCGCGGACCUAUCAGCUAGUUGGAGGGGUAACGGCCCACCAAGGCAACGACGGGUAGCUGGUCUGAGAGGAUGGUCAGCCACACUGGGACUGAGACACGGCCCAGACUCCUACGGGAGGCAGCAGUGGGGAAUCUUGCGCAAUGGGCGAAAGCCUGACGCAGCAACGCCGCGUGCGGGAAGAAGGCUUUCGGGCUGUAAACCGCUUUCAGUAGGAACGAAACUGACGGUACCUACAGAAGAAGGAGCGGCCAACUAUGUG